GGGGCGCCUGGGUGGCUCAGUCGGUUGAGCACCCGACACUUGAUUUCGACUCUGGUCAUAAUCUCCGGUUCAUGAGAUCCAGCCCCAGGUCAGGCUCUGCCCUGAUAGUGUGGAGCCUGCUUGGGAUUC